UACGGAGGGUGCGAGCGUUGUCCGGAAUCACUGGGCGUAAAGGGCGCGUAGGCGGCCUGGUAAGUCGGGGGUGAAAUCCUGCGGCCUAACCGGAGGGCUGCCUUCUAAACUGUCAGGCUCGAGCACAGUAGAGGCAGGUGGAAUUCCCGGUGUAGCGGUGGAAUGCGUAGAGAUCGGGAAGAACAUCAGUGGCGAGGGCGGCCUGCUGGGCUGUUGCUGACGCUGAGGCGCGACAGCGUGGGGAGCAAAUAGG
rnacentral:rRNA from 1 species